AUCCAACGUCGAGACCAUCUUCUACCUCACGUCUGUUUGCUCCCGUGCUCUAUCCACUCAACCACUGCCAACUCGCGCAUGCUCAUCCUUGCUUCCCGACCCCACCUCCUAGCCCUGCCCACCAUCGGUCCGCCGCCUCGCCUGGCUGGCGGCGGCGUCCUCGCUGCCUUGCGGAGCUGCCCUCGUGCCCGUCACCUCUGCUGGUCGGCGCUGCUCCAUGCCGCGCGCUCUCCAUCUAAGUUCGAGGGUCACUGAAGGACCUCCGACACCUCCAAGGUAAGGAGUACGAAGAAAGCUUGAUCGAGCUGCUA